ACUUCUCUUUCCCUCUUUCUCUCUCUAGGUUUUCCAUUUUGAAGUGGAAAACUAGUGGAUUUGAGUUUAAUUCUUCCUCAUCUUUAUUUGCUAGCUGGUUGGAAGGCUUGGAGCUGUGUUUUGCUGUUGGAGAGAAGAGUUUGGGAGGUAUUUCGCAGCUCUAGUACGGUAGGAAGCCGAGUUGCAUCUUGGUAAGAUGAGAAUACCAUUUCUCUCUCUAGUUUGAUGCUAGUAGUGGAUAUACGCUUGGUUCUUUGCUUUUGGAUUACCAGCUGGUUUGGGGAGGUUGUAGCAACCAUAGAAGGUGUAUUUUGCUAUGGUUCUUCAACUUUAAUCUAAGGAAAAAGCUGAAUUAAAGCUAUUGGAAGCAGGUUCCGAGCAGGGGAGUGAACUCCUUUGAGCUGAGUUUAGUGACUCUUGUGAGCUGAUUUUGAUGUGCUUCAGCCUGAGUUGGAGCCGUGCAAGGGUACUUGGAGGCUUCGGAUUACCUUCGUACGCGGAAUCAUCGAGAGUUGUCGACUAAUUGAGCCUUCCACAGCGGGAAAGGCUAGGGUUCCUGACGAGAGGUUAGCGGCUAGUUAGAACCUUCUCGAUGUUAAAUAGAUGAAACCGUACCAGCUGUUCUAGUUGAGUUCAGUGUUGUAUAGUGGUACUAUGUAGAAUGUACUUUGUACUUUGCUUCUAGGCUAUAUUAAAGUUUUGUAUUUGUAUAAGCUUAUAAACUUUUAAGUUUUUGCUCUGAUUACUUGGUUAGAA